UGACUCUAAACACAAAAAAAAAUUAACAUAUAACACGAUACGAGAAGAGGGACGGCAACAAUCCCUUAUCAGGUUGACUAAAGCUGGACAGGCUGAUACAUCUGUGUGAAUACUGGAUCAAGAAAGAGAUGCCGGCGGGUACAGCAAUUGUCGAGGUGGUUUUCUCAAGAAAAAUAAAAGUUUUUCUUGUCAUAUCAACACAUUUCUUACAGUAAUUUUGAGUUUGAGAAGCUAUGGGGGAACUACAGUCUACUCUUAUAUUGAAUUUCAACUGCCAAGGGAUCUUUUACGUGCACACCAAUGUGUACAUGUUUUUCGCCAAAUCCGAACAUCUAUACGUUAUGCCAGGCCAUCUGUUCUGCACCACUGACCAGGUGGCACCACCCCAAAAAAUCCUGAUGAGCUUUCUCGGCCAACACAGGUUCGAACACGGGACCCCCAGGUCUAGCGAGCUGAUGUUCUACUCACUGAGCCACUGCGACUCCCAACAAGAUUAACAUCUAAACCUUUGAUUACCUGCUGUCCUCCUGUUAUAGUAACUGGAUAAUCUAGACUAGUAUUAUCACCACUUUCUUUUACAGUGCCGAACUUUGAUGCCUCGAAAUUAGUGUAGAUUUGACCUCCGUGGUUUUUAAACGAUUCACCGUAAUGUUUCGUAACAACACCCCAAUCAACUAUACCAGUAUGAGGGGAGUGUAUGGCUUUUAAUCCCUGAAAAAAAAAAAAAGUAUUGAUAAUUUCAUAAACAACUUUUAAAGAGAUAUUAUACAAAACCUAAA